AAAAAAAUAAGUUUUAUUUACAAUUCACAGGAAGUGAAGAAGGUCAAGAAGCUCUAUUAUAAAACGGAUAGUUCCGGUCCUAAAAUCUGAUUGGCUGAGCCGCGUUCGAAGCCGUUGUAAAAUCCCCGAUAAAGGAACACCUAGGACCACCUCACAUCAUUCCAUAUUAAUACGCCACUGAAAAGAAAAAGAUGAUGUUAUUUUCGCCCUCAUGUUGCCUAGCAACACUGUUAAUCGAACUACCUGGCGUCGCGGAAGAAUGCUUUAUUGAUCCAGUAAGAGAUCCAGAGAUCAGAUCUGCUGAAAUGGACCAGGAGGAACGGUGGAUCGUGCUGAUUGGGAAGACUGGUGCUGGGAAGAGUGCAACAGGAAACACCAUCCUGGGAAGAAAUGCAUUCACAUCAGAACGAUCGUUUAGCUCUGUAACGUCUGUUACUCAACGUGAUAAAGUAAUAGAUCAGGAAAUAAGCAGGAAUAAACAUCUCAGAAGGGUUUUAGAUCAGUGUGGAGGAAGAUUUCACAUCUUUAAUAAUGCAGAACCACAGAACAGACAGCAGGUCACUGAACUUCUGCAGAAGAUAAACAGGAUGGUGCAGCAGAAUAGAGGAUUCUGCACUAAUGAGAUGUAUAAGGAAGAAAACAGUUCAUGGUGGGACAAAUUCUGGAAAAAAAUAAAAGAUGUGUUUACAAUGGAGUGGAGGCAGGAAGACAUUUUUCAGAGCAGGUGAAGAGUAGGAGUAUGGAGCAGUUGCAAUAUCUGUAAGGAGUAGUUGCUGGUGGUGGUGGAAUUAGAAAACUCUGCAGAACCCUCUGAAGUAAAUUUAAGUUAAUAAGAGAUUAAAAUUAAAAUAAAAGGAGACACAGAGAUGGUUUAAUUAUGUCAUCAUUUCUAUAUUGCUGUAAUAGUUUCUAUCUUUAUAUUAAAUACAUUAAUUAAAUAAAAUGUUAUAAAAUGAUUUGAGCUAUGAUGAUUGUUUCUGAUUAAAUGUUCUGCUCUUGA